rnacentral:rRNA from 1 species
UACGAAGGGGGCUAGCGUUGUUCGGAAUUACUGGGCGUAAAGGGCGCGUAGGCGGUGUGUCAAGUCAGGCGUGAAAGCCCCGGGCUCAACCUGGGAACCGCGCUUGAGACUGGCACGCUCGAGUUCGGGAGAGGAUGGUGGAAUUCCCAGUGUAGAGGUGAAAUUCGUAGAUAUUGGGAAGAACUCCGAUGGCGAAGGCAGCCAUCUGGACCGACACUGACGCUGAGGCGCGAAAGCGUGGGGAGCAAACAGG